rnacentral:rRNA from 1 species
AUGGAAAAUGGUAUCGGAUCGGUGGACGGGCACAAGGCGGUGUCAAACGGCGUGGUGGCGUGCCCCGCCGCAUUCCGCACAUCGUCGUCGCCAGCGGCCAUGAUCACCUCCGCCGAGGCCACGCUGGGCCGCCACCUUGCACGGCGCCUGGUGGAGGUGGGCGUGAGCGACGUGUUCGCCGUGCCAGGGGACUUCAACCUGGCCCUCCUCGACCACCUCAUCGCCGAACCAGGCCUGCGCCUCAUGGGCUGCUGCAACGAGCUCAACGCCGGCUACGCCGCCGACGGGUACGCACGCGCCAAGGGCGUGGGCGCCUGCGCCGUCACCUUCACCGUCGGCGGCCUGAGCGUGCUCAACGCCAUCGCUGGCGCCUACAGCGAGAACCUCCCCGUGAUCUGCAUCGUCGGCGGGCCCAACUCCAACGACCACGGCACCAACCGCAUCCUCCACCACACCAUCGGUCUCCCCGACUUCUCCCAGGAGCUCCGCUGCUUCCAGCCCGUCACCUGUCACCAGGUCGUCAUCAACAACCUCGACGACGCCCACGAGCAGGUCGACAAGGCCAUCGCCACGGCUCUCAGAGAGAGCAAGCCCGUCUACAUCAGCGUCGCCUGCAACCUCCCCGGCGUCUCCCACCCCACCUUCUUCCGCGACCCCAUCCCCUACUGCCUCGCCCCGCGGCAGAGCAACCAGAUGGGACUCGAGGCGGCGCUCGACGCGACGGUGGAGUUUCUAAACAAGGCGGUGAAGCCGGUGAUGGUGGCGGGGCCGAAGCUCCGGGUGGCCAAGGCAGCCGCGGCGUUCGCGGAGCGGGCGGACGCAAGCGGCUACGUUGUGGCGACGAUGCCGUCGGCGAAGGGGCUGGUGCCGGAGACGCUGCCGCGGUUCAUCGGCACCUACUGGGGCGCGGUGAGCACGUCCUUCUGCGCGGAGAUCGUGGAGUCGGCGGACGCCUACCUCUUCGCCGGCCCCAUCUUCAACGACUACAGCUCAGUGGGGUACUCGUUCCUGCUCAAGAAGGAGAAGAUGGUGAACGUGCAGCCCGACCGAGUCACCGUCGGCAACGGCCCGACGUUCGGGUGCGUCAUGAUGAAGGACUUCCUGUCGGAGCUGGCCAAGCGCUUGAGCAAGAAGAGGAACACCACGGCGCACGACAACUACCGGAGGAUCUUCGUGCCGCAGGGGCAGCCGCUGGAGAGCGAGCGCGGCGAGCCGCUGCGAGUCAACGUGCUGUUCAAGCACAUCCAGAAGAUGCUCACCGGCGACAGCGCCGUCAUCGCUGAGACCGGCGACUCGUGGUUCAACUGCCAGAAGCUCAAGCUACCCGACGGCUGCGGGUACGAGUUCCAGAUGCAGUACGGGUCCAUCGGGUGGUCGGUGGGGGCGCUGCUCGGGUACGCGCAGGGCGCCAUGGACAAGCGCGUCAUCGCCUGCAUCGGUGACGGGAGCUUCCAGGUGACGGCGCAGGACGUGUCGACGAUGCUGCGGUGCCAGCAGAAGAGCAUCAUCUUCCUCAUCAACAAUGGAGGUUACACCAUUGAGGUGGAGAUCCACGACGGGCCUUACAACGUCAUCAAGAACUGGAACUACACGGGGCUCGUCGACGCCAUCCACAACGGCGAGGGCAACUGCUGGACUGCAAAGGUGAGUUGCGAGGAGGACCUGACGGCGGCGAUAGAGACCGCGACGGGAGAGAAGAAGGACUGCCUCUGCUUCAUCGAGGUGGUGGUGCACAAGGACGACACCAGUAAGGAGCUCCUGGAAUGGGGAUCCAGGGUCAGUGCCGCCAACUCUAGGCCACCGAAUCCGCAGUAG